rnacentral:rRNA from 1 species
GAUGAACGCUAGCUACAGGCUUAACACAUGCAAGUCGAGGGGCAGCAUGGGCUUAGCUUGCUAAGCCCGAUGGCGACCGGCGCACGGGUGAGUAACACGUAUCCAACCUUCCGGUAACUCCGGUAUAGCCUUUCGAAAGAAAGAUUAAUCCCGGAUAGUAUGGUGAUUCCGCAUGGUUUCUCCAUUAAAGGAUUCCGGUUACCGAUGGGGAUGCGUUCCAUUAGGCAGUUGGCGGGGUAACGGCCCACCAAACCUACGAUGGAUAGGGGUUCUGAGAGGAAGGUCCCCCACAUUGGUACUGAGACACGGACCAA